CACGUAGGGGGCAAGCGUUGUCCGGAUUUAUUGGGCGUAAAGAGCUCGUAGGUGGUUCGGUAAGUCAGGUGUGAAACCUCCAGGCUCAACCUGGAGACGCCACUUGAUACUGCUGUGACUGGAGUCCGGUAGGGGAGCGUGGAAUUCCUGGUGUAGCGGUGAAAUGCGCAGAUAUCAGGAAGAACACCAAUGGCGAAGGCAGCUCUCUGGGACGGUACUGACGCUGAGACGCGAAAGCGUGGGGAGCGAACAGG
rnacentral:rRNA from 1 species